rnacentral:lncRNA from 10 species
AGGGGGGGGUGGGGCCUUGGGGCCGCGAGUGGGAGCGGGAGCGGUUCUGCGGCCUCCUCGGGCUUCUUGGCCCUGGGCGGAGUGGGAUUGGGUGUCCCGGCUGUUCGCAGUGGCCGCGAGUGCGGCCGGACCUGGAGUAGUACCUGAGCCGCUCUGGCCGAGCAAGGCGCGGGGCCCCGGUCUACACCGCGCUGGACCCGGCUAUGCCGUGACGGAAUUCCCGAGGCCGUAGCGCCACGCGAGACGCGCACUGCUCGCCUCCCUUCCGCCAAGAUUCACAGAACACGGCAGAGUGGCCUCGGGAUCACCUGCCCAAGACACCUGCACGACCGGAAGUUGGGAGAAGAAAUUAAGGCCAUGAUGAUGAACGCAGCCUUUCUCGUUUAUUUCCAAUCCCACAACAAACCGGAGUCCAGGAACUCAUGGAAGGGCCUCUGCACGGAGAUUUGAGCAGCCAGAACUC